rnacentral:rRNA from 1 species
CAGGUACUAAGAACCAUAGAUCGAACGUUCAUCGUCAGCGGCGCUGGCUUCGCGUCGGUGGGCGAUGCUCCGCGGAGCCCUUGCGGAUCCUACCGCGGACACGCUACCGUGCGUCGAUGUCCGGCGCUCGUCGUCGUGCACUUCUCCCCUAGUAGGACGUCGCGACCCGCUGGGUGUCGGUCUACGGCCCGAGUGCGGUGACUGUCGCGUCGCCGGUAAAACGGCACGCGGCAAACCCUCGGUCGCCCGGCCGGCUGCCCGGCGGUACACGCAUGGUAUCAGGCCGCACUCUUCUCACGUGUGCGUCGGGACCGUCGCAAGCGCGCGCCACGGUACUCGGAGGUUACGGACCUAGCGCCGUCCCCGGUCCUGGCCCGCUGUUGGUCGUACGGAACUCCUUCGACAGGCCUGCAAACGAUAUACCGGUCGGCGACGCUACUGCUUGGACUCUA